rfam:Picea glauca, whole genome shotgun sequence.
GAAACGGUGUCUUUAGACACCACCGAUCUUAUGUAAAGUUUAUUU